CAGCAAGUCACACGUGCCGGACUCUCUCUCUCUCUCUCCGGCAGGAAAUUCGAGCAUUUCUUCUCAGAAACAGGCAUAUUGAUGAAAUUAGGGUUUAUACAAGGGUUUUUGGAAUUAGGGCUUUGGGAAGCUUGGGUCUUUGAAUCAUGCAAAACUAAGGUUUCUCAGAUUCGUCCAUCCAUGGAAUUAGGGUUUUAGAUUUCCAGUAUCAGGGUUUCCAGAGCUCCGUCGAUCCGCCCAUCCCUUUUAGUCCAUCGCGAUGAGCCAUCAUCCAUCGAAUUUCCACCCUUCAUCGCAAUCUCAUCCACAAUUCAAUUCGAUCCAGGCCCAGUUACAGGCUCAAAGCCUCGCCGCCGCAUCGUCAUCGCUCAACGCUGCAGCUGCAGCGGCAGCUGCAGCGAAGCGGGCCCAACAGAAACCCCCUGUCCGGCCUCCUGGUUUCGUCCCGCAUCUGACCUUCAAGGCCGCAGAGUUCGCCGCGGCCGCGGCGAGGCAGAAGCAGAAGAAGAAGAAGCUCCCCGAGAAGCAGCUUCCCGACAGGGUAGCCGCGCUACUACCCGAAUCGGCGCUCUACACGCAGCUCCUUGAGUUCGAAUCCCGCGUCGAUGCUGCCCUCAUGAGGAAGAAAAUUGAUAUUCAGGAAGCUAUCAAGAACCCGCCUUCUGUUCAGCGGACCCUACGGAUCUAUGUAUUCAACACCUUUGCGAACCAGACGCGGAGUACGCCGAGGAAGCAGCAGGCAGAACCUCCAUCGUGGACGCUUAAGAUCGUCGGACAGAUAUUGGAAGAUGGACCGGAGGUGGACCUUGCCGGGAUGCCCCCCAGACCAACACAAUACCCAAAAUUCUCUUCUUUCUUCAAGCGGGUCACGAUUGCGCUCGACCCGAAUCUAUACCCAGACAAUCCUGCGAUCAUAUGGGAGAAUUCCCGUUCGCCGGCUCAACAUGAAGGGUUUGAGAUCAAACGGAAGGGUGAUAAGGAAUUCAACGUUAGCAUACGCUUCGAGAUGAAUUAUGUUCCUGAGAAAUUCAAGCUGUCACCGGCAUUAACUGAUGUCCUCGGCAUUGAGGUUGAGACCCGCCCGAGGAUCAUCGCUGGGAUCUGGCAUUAUGUGAAGGCGAAGAAGCUGCAGAACCCAAAUGACCCUUCGAUCUUCAUGUGCGACCUGCCACUGAUGAAGGUGUUUGGGGAAGACAGGGUGAAGUUCGCCAUGGUGUCCCAGAAGAUCACACCGCACCUGGCCCCGCCUCAGCCGAUACAUCUGGAGCAUCGGAUUAGGCUCUCGGGGAGCAGCCCAGCGGGGAAUGCUUGCUAUGAUGUAUUGGUUGACAUCCCCUUCCCACUGCAGAAGGAGAUGUCAGCAUUCUUGGCGAACACAGAUAAGCAUAGAGAGAUUGAUGCCUGUGAGGAGGCAAUUUCUGGUGUUAUAAAGAGGAUUCACGAGCAUCGGAGGAGGCGGGCAUUCUUUCUCGGGUUUAGUCAGUCGCCAGUGGAGUUUAUCAAUGCUUUGAUUGCUUCACAGAGCAAGGACUUGAAGCUUUUAACCGGUGAACCGAGCCGAAAUGCUGAAAAGGAACGUCGGUCCGAGUUCUACAACCAGCCAUGGGUUGAGGAUGCUGUCAUUCGUUAUCUGAAUCGCAAGCCGCCACCGCCACAUUCUGCUGCAAUGAAUGAAGCUCCUGGAAAUACAUGAAUAGGGAAUCAAUAUGGCUUUAACGUAUCAUCUUUGUCAGCUUACAAGGCUCGAAUUGGUAAACUUGUGUGCAACCCGUGGAGUGUGGUUAUUCUUCACUACAUUGGAGUUAUGGUAUAAGCCAAAUUGCCUACAUGUUGGAACCAGUCUGAGGGACAGCUUGGAUCUAACACUCACAUACCCUGCUAGCAGAUUUGGUGUCGUAGAUGGGCUGCCUCAUUCGCCCACCAGGGCGUGCUUAACAAGCUCCUUAUUAUGACAGAAACAAAAGAGAAGCAUUCCGAUCUUGAGGAUGACAGGUUUGCUUGAAUUAUCGAUCAAAUUUACAAAGUAAACAUUUUAAGAAGUGGGUAUGCAACCUUAAUAAAGUUCAAUGCGAGUGCAUUUUUU